AGACGUUUUCCAAUCCAGAUUUAAUUCUUAUCCAUUUAUUUAUAUUUUCGUGAUAUGUGCUAUUUACAAAAUAUGAUACUGUUACAGGUUUAUUAAAUUUUUAAUUGGUUAGAGUUUAGGUGCGCAACGAGAAGAUUGCCCUAAUGCCCUACUCCAGCAAUGUCUUUGAUAUGAGGCUCAGAGGUGGCAGCACUUGCACGAGCAGACUGAUGUUUACAAAAUAAGUCACACCGACUCGGCAUCGUCUGCAGCAAAAAAAAAAAAAAAAAAAAACUACUAAACUCUUUUGGCCAAUUGUCAUCCACUAAAGGUUUUCACUAGGUUUUUAUUCCUUUGCUGUUCUGCCUUAUGGAUCCUAAUCAGCUUCAAUCUUUUUGGCUUCCAAUAAUAUUUGAAGCUGGAGCACAAAUGGAAGAAAUUGACAAACAACAGCAAUGGCAGAUUGUAGCUGCCAUGUUAGGAUGCAGUUCUCAUCUUGAAUGGAACCUAAAAUGAUUGCAUCACCUCCCUGGUCCAAUCCAUCUCUGCUCCCGCUGCAUUGACCGAUGUCUAAAACCGAAUAUGUGGAGCGCUGCAUGAAGCAAACUUAAUUUAUUCACAACACUAUAAUGAUGCUUUUUUUGCUGCUGAAUGAUGAUUUUUUAAUUAUUAAAAUUUCUUUAACAUGACUACAGACUGCACAAAAACUGAGUGAUCAUCA